UUUAGGUCGGACCCGCUGAAUUUAAGCAUAUUAAUAAGCGGAGGAAAAGAAACUAACAAGAAUUCCCUCAGUAACGGCGAGUGAAGCGGGAAAAGCCCAGCGCCGAAUCCCCCCGCGCAUAGCGGACGGGAAAUGUGGCGUACAGGAAGCCGAUUGUCGUCGUGCUCCGAUGUGGAAGUCCUCCUGAUCGUGGCCUUACCCAAAGCGGGUGUCAGGCCCGUUCGGUCGUCGGACGCGGUGUCUUCGAGCUUCCUUGGAGUCGGGUUGUUUGGGAAUGCAGCCCAAAGUGGGUGGUAAACUCCACCUAAGGCUAAAUACUGGCACGAGUCCGAUAGCGGACAAGUACCGUGAGGGAAAGUUGAAAAGANACUUUGAAGRGAGAGUUCAAGAGUACGUGAAACCGUAUAGAGUCAAACGGGUGGAUCCGCAUUGUCGGCCCGGGGAAUUCAGCUCGGACUGUCGGCGACUGCGGGGCGGUCAGGAUCCUCACGGACCGCGCCUCGCGCCUGCCAGGCAUGAGCCGGGUGCACUUUCUCCGGAUCGAAUGCCACGUCCGGUUCUGCGUGCAGUCAGAUGCUCGUCGGGAAGGUGCCCGUCCGCCUCGGCGGACGGAGUUACAGCCCGGCGUUGCGGACUUGCUGCGGGACCGAGGACUCUUGCCGUGCCUUAGGGCCCCCUGUCCAGCUCGCUCGCUCGACUGUGGCGGACUGCUCGCAGUGCGCCGCGACCGCUAGUGGGCGUCAAGUCAGGGUCAAGCCCGGGGUGCCUCGGGUCAGUGGCGAAUCGGUCGGUACYCCWYSYGUUACCYGUCUUGAAACACGGACCAAGGAGUCUAACAUGUGCGCGAGUCAUGGGGUCGUACGAAACCCAAAGGCGCAAUGAAAGUGAAGGCAGCCUCCGGCUUGCCUAGGCAGGAUCCCGUCCCUCGGGGUGGGCGCACUGCCGGCCCGUCUCGGCAGCGUCGUCUGCGAGGCGGAGCAAGAGCGUACACGUUGGGACCCGAAAGAUGGUGAACUAUGCUUGAGUAGGGCAAAGUCAGGGGAAACUCUGAUGGAGGUCCGCAGCGAUUCUGACGUGCAAAUCGAUCGUCAGACUUGAGUAUAGGGGCGAAAGACUAAUCGAACCAUCUAGUAGCUGGUUCCCUCCGAAGUUUCCCUCAGGAUAGCUGGCACUAUAUCAGAGUUUUAUCCGGUAAAGCGAAUGAUUAGAGGCCUUGGGACUAAAUGACCUCAACCUAUUCUCAAACUUUAAAUGGGUCAGAAGGCCCGACUCGCUCAAUUGGAGCCGGGCCCUUGAGAAUCCAAGGUGCCAAGUGGGCCACUUUUGUAAGCAGACUGGCGGCUGUGGGAUGACCAAACGCCCGGUUAGCGCCCGAUACUGACGCUCAUCAGACACCAUAAAGUGUGGUGAUACAGACAGCAGACGGUGGCAAUGAGUCGAUCCGCUAGGAGUNGUUACACCUCACUGCCGGAUCACUAGCCUUGAANNGUGAUGUGCGCCCUAUA
rnacentral:rRNA from 1 species